AGCAGCCGCGGUAAUUCCAGCUCCAAUAGCGUAUAUUAAAGUUGUUGCAGUUAAAAAGCCCGUAGUUGAAUUUCGGGAUCAAUGCGUCGGUCGUGCUUUCGGGUACGUACUGGUGUCAUUGGUUUCUCCUUUCUGACGAGCCGUGAUGUCAUUAAUUUGGUGUUACGGGUAGUUAGGACUGUUACUUUGAAAAAAUUAGAGUGUUUAAAGCAGGCAUUAGCUUGAAUACAUUAGCAUGGAAUAAUGAAAUAGGACAUUCGAUCCUAUUUUGUUGGUUUCUAGGAUCAACGUAAUGAUUAAUAGGGAUAGUUGGGGGCAUUAGUAUUCAAUUGUCAGAGGUGAAAUUCUUGGAUUUAUUGAAGACUAACUACUGCGAAAGCAUUUGCCAAGGAUGUUUUCAUUAAUCAAGAACGAAAGUUAGGGGAUCGAAGACGAUCAGAUACCGUCGUAGUCUUAACCAUAAACUAUGCCGACUAGGGAUCGGAUGAUGUUAAUUUUUUAAUGACUCAUUCGGCGCCUU
rnacentral:rRNA from 1 species